rnacentral:rRNA from 1 species
GACGAACGCUGGCGGCGUGCCUAAUACAUGCAAGUCGAACGCAUUUUCUUUCACCGUAGCUUGCUACACCGAAAGAAAAUGAGUGGCGAACGGGUGAGUAACACGUGGGUAACCUGCCCAUCAGCGGGGGAUAACACUUGGAAACAGGUGCUAAUACCGCAUAAUUCCAUUUACCGCAUGGCAGAUGGAUGAAAGGCGCUUUUGCGUCACUGAUGGAUGGACCCGCGGUGCAUUAGCUAGUUGGUGGGGUAACGCCUACCAAGGCUGCGAUGCAUAGCCGACCUGAGAGGGUGAUCGGCCACACUGGGACUGAGACACGGCCCAG